GGGCUAUAAAGGAAACAAGGAUCUUUGAGAAAGUUCUGGGAGCUUUGCUCAAGCCAAAGGGGAGAGCCUGAAAUUGGAAAUGCUGGUGGCGAAUUGCAAACCUCAGGAACUUCUGGUGUGGUGGAGGAAUCGGAAUGUGAAAAUAAGCGUCUCGAAGGUCUAUGGAGAUUAAUCAGUCACCUGGGGAGAUGGCUUUGAUAAUGGAACUUAAAGAUUCCAUCUUGAAUUUUCUGACACACAGAUCUGCGUUUAGCUCGUGAAGAUCUAAAAUCGGUCUCCAUUCCCCCGAUGCCUUUGGAGUGAGGAAUAGUCUGGAAUAGACUCCCAAUCCUUUUUCUUUUGCAGGAACAGGACAAAUGACUCCUUCUGCUGAAAGGGAAGAAACAAAAGAAC